rnacentral:lncRNA from 1 species
AAAGUCCUACUCUUUUUCUCUUAGCUUUGAAACUUUUUCACCUAGAUCACGGACAGCGAUCGCCAUUUUUCGUUGCCAAAGCUGGUCUUCGCUCUCCCAUAGCCAAUUAGUGGUGAAUCUCCUUCAAUUUUUGCAAGAGUCGUGUUGAAAUGAUAGCUGUUGACGGUCAGUUCUUCACUUGUUUUGUUGUUCGUAAAUCUUAUUUUGCCAUUUUUCUCACUUGAAGCAUUUUACUUGCUGUAUAGCAACUAUAAUGACACCACACACAACCUUUCACUCAUGAAUCAAUUCAUCA